rnacentral:rRNA from 1 species
AUUAGUUUUUUAAUUGAAGGCUAGAAUGAAUGGUUGGACAAGAAAUAAUCUGUCUUAGGUUAAUAUCUUGAAUUUAACUUUUAAGUGAAAAGGCUUAAAUAAUCUGAAGGGACGAUAAGACCCUAUAAAACUUUAUAUUGAAAAGUGGUGUGUAUGUUUUGUUUUAAAGUUAUCACUUAAAAGUAUUUGGUUGGGGUGACAAAAAUAGAAGAAAAAGUAACUGUUUUUUUUUCUUACAAUAAUGUUUGGGUUAGUGAUCCUAAAAUGGAUUAAAAGAUUAAGUUACUUUAGGGAUAACAGCGUAAUUUUCUUUAAGAGUUCUUAUCGAUAAGAAAGUUUGCGACCUCGAUGUUGAAUUAAAGUUCUUUGUGGAGUAGAGACUAUAAAAGAAGGUCUGUUCGACCUUUAAAACUAUA